rnacentral:rRNA from 1 species
ACGUGAGCAACCUGCCCCUCACUCUGGGAUAAGCGCUGGAAACGGCGUCUAAUACUGGAUACGAGUUGGAGCCGCAUGGUUACCAACUGGAAAGAUUUUUUGGUGGGGGAUGGGCUCGCGGCCUAUCAGCUUGUUGGUGAGGUAAUGGCUCACCAAGGCGUCGACGGGUAGCCGGCCUGAGAGGGUGACCGGCCACACUGGGACUGAGACACGGCCCAGACUCCUACGGGAGGCAGCAGUGGGGAAUAUUGCACAAUGGGCGGAAGCCUGAUGCAGCAACGCCGCGUGAGGGAUGACGGCCUUCGGGUUGUAAACCUCUUUUAGCAGGGAAGAAGCGAAAGUGACGGUACCUGCAGAAAAAGCACCGGCUAACUACGUGCCAGCAGCCGCGGUAAUACGUAGGGUGCAAGCGUUAUCCGGAAUUAUUGGGCGUAAAGAGCUCGUAGGCGGUUUGUCGCGUCUGCUGUGAAAUCCCGAGGCUCAACCUCGGGCCUGCAGUGGGUACGGGCAGACUAGAGUGCGGUAGGGGAGAUUGGAAUUCCUGGUGUAGCGGUGGAAUGCGCAGAUAUCAGGAGGAACACCGAUGGCGAAGGCAGAUCUCUGGGCCGUAACUGACGCUGAGGAGCGAAAGGGUGGGGAGCAAACAGGCUUAGAUACCCUGGUAGUCCACCCCGUAAACGUUGGGAACUAGUUGUGGGGUCCUUUCCACGGAUUCCGUGACGCAGCUAACGCAUUAAGUUCCCCGCCUGGGGAGUACGGCCGCAAGGCUAAAACUCAAAGGAAUUGACGGGGACCCGCACAAGCGGCGGAGCAUGCGGAUUAAUUCGAUGCAACGCGAAGAACCUUACCAAGGCUUGACAUACACCAGAACACCGUAGAAAUACGGGACUCUUUGGACACUGGUGAACAGGUGGUGCAUGGUUGUCGUCAGCUCGUGUCGUGAGAUGUUGGGUUAAGUCCCGCAACGAGCGCAACCCUCGUUCUAUGUUGCCAGCACGUAAUGGUGGGAACUCAUGGGAUACUGCCGGGGUCAACUCGGAGGAAGGUGGGGAUGACGUCAAAUCAUCAUGCCCCUUAUGUCUUGGGCUUCACGCAUGCUACAAUGGCCGGUACAAAGGGCUGCAAUACCGUGAGGUGGAGCGAAUCCCAAAAAGCCGGUCCCAGUUCGGAUUGAGGUCUGCAACUCGACCUCAUGAAGUCGGAGUCGCUAGUAAUCGCAGAUCAGCAACGCUGCGGUGAAUACGUUCCCGGGUCUUGUACACACCGCC